rnacentral:rRNA from 1 species
CAACAGGGAUUGCCUUAGUAACGGCGAGUGAAGCGGCAAAAGCUCAAAUUUGAAAUCUGGCACCUUCGGUGUCCGAGUUGUAAUUUGAAGAAGGUAACUUUGGAGUUGGCUCUUGUCUAUGUUCCUUGGAACAGGACGUCACAGAGGGUGAGAAUCCCGUGCGAUGAGAUGCCCAAUUCUAUGUAAAGUGCUUUCGAAGAGUCGAGUUGUUUGGGAAUGCAGCUCUAAGUGGGUGGUAAAUUCCAUCUAAAGCUAAAUAUUGGCGAGAGACCGAUAGCGAACAAGUACAGUGAUGGAAAGAUGAAAAGAACUUUGAAAAGAGAGUGAAAAAGUACGUGAAAUUGUUGAAAGGGAAGGGCUUGAGAUCAGACUUGGUAUUUUGCGAUCCUUUCCUUCUUGGUUGGGUUCCUCGCAGCUUACUGGGCCAGCAUCGGUUUGGAUGGUAGGAUAAUGACUAAGGAAUGUGGCUCUACUUCGG